rnacentral:rRNA from 1 species
GAUGAACGCUGGCGGCGUGCCUAAUACAUGCAAGUCGAGCGAACGGACGAGAAGCUUGCUUCUCUGAUGUUAGCGGCGGACGGGUGAGUAACACGUGGAUAACCUACCUAUAAGACUGGGAUAAUUUCGGGAAACCGUAGCUAAUACCGGAUAAUAUUUUGAACCGCAUGGUUCAAAAGUGAAAUACGGCCUUGCUGUCACUUAUAGAUGGAUCCCCGCUGCAUUAGCUAGUUGGUAAGGUAACGGCUUACCAAGGCAACGAUGCAUAGCCGACCUGAGAGGGUGAUCGGCCACACUAGAACUGAGACACGGUCCAGACUCCUACGGGAGGCAGCAGUAGGGAAUCUUCCGCAAUGGGCGAAAGCCUGACGGAGCAACGCCGCGUGAGUGAUGAAGGUCUUCGGAUCGUAAAACUCUGUUAUUAGGGAAGAACAUAUGUGUAAGUAACUGUGCACAUCUUGACGGUACCUAAUCAGAAAGCCACGGCUAACUACGUG